AAAAAAUCGUGUCUACGUGCAAUUUAUGUAUAGUUGACCGGGAAAUUAAAGCAGCGAUCACUUGGACUAUUCCGCAGCACCCCUCUCACAUUGGUACACCCCCCCCCCCUCCCCCGGUAUUCAUUGUCUUCUACAGUAGAGCGGGACAUUUAAUUUACUCUCAGCGGAAUUGACCGGAGAAGGCAUCAGUUCAUGCACUGCACUGGCCUGCACCAUGAUUAGUAUAAGGCACAUUUCACGAAGCAGAACGCAGUCUUCAGAGAUAUCCACGUGAACGCUGUGAUACGUCUGACCUUCAGUCCGAAGAAGAAACCCAGACCAGUCUUAAAAGAAAGCACAAACCAAAUCCCCUGUACACAUAUACGGACUCAGAGGAUGAGCAGCCUACAAAAAAACGGUUUCCCCAGGCCCCUCGAGUGAAAA